GUGGGGAAUCUUGCGCAAUGGGCGAAAGCCUGACGCAGCCAUGCCGCGUGAAUGAUGAAGGUCUUAGGAUUGUAAAAUUCUUUCACCGGGGACGAUAAUGACGGUACCCGGAGAAGAAGCCCCGGCUAACUUCGUGCCAGCAGCCGCGGUAAUACGAAGGGGGCUAGCGUGGCUCGGAAUUACUGGGCGUAAAGGGCGCGUAGGCGGACAGUUUAGUCAGAGGUGAAAGCCCAGGGCUCAACCUUGGAAUUGCCUUUGAUACUGGCUGUCUUGAGUACGGGAGAGGGGAGUGGAACUCCGAGUGUAGAGGUGAAAUUCGUAGAUAUUCGGAAGAACACCGGUGGCGAAGGCGACUCACUGGCCCGUUACUGACGCUGUGGCGCGAAAGCGUGGGGAGCAAACAGGAUUAGAAACCCGUGUAGUCC
rnacentral:rRNA from 1 species